GGAAGGAUCAUUGUCAA
rnacentral:rRNA from 1 species